rnacentral:rRNA from 1 species
AAAUUGAAGAGUUUGAUCAUGGCUCAGAUUGAACGCUGGCGGCAGGCCUAACACAUGCAAGUCGAACGGUAACAGGAAGAAGCUUGCUUCUUUGCUGACGAGUGGCGGACGGGUGAGUAAUGUCUGGGAAACUGCCUGAUGGAGAGGGAUAACUACUGGAAACGGUAGCUAAUACCGCAUAACGUCGCAAGACCAAAGAGGGGGACCUUCGGGCCUCUUGCCAUCGGAUGUGCCCAGAUGGGAUUAGCUAGUAGGUGGGGUAACGGCUCACCUAGGCGACGAUCCCUAGCUGGUCUGAGAGGAUG